GAAUCUUUAGCUUUACAAGCACAGUCUGAAUCUUGAAGUCCAAAGGAUAAAAAGCACCCAAAUCUCUCAGCUGGGUCCAAGAGCAUGGAGAAUGGAGUACUGCACUUACGCCCUGCUUGCAAGACUUGAAGAGUCACUAUCACAGCAGGGCUGGGCUACAGAAAGAUAUCUCGCUUUACAUCAGCAAAGAUCUCCUUGCACCUGGAGGAAAGCCAAGCACCGGGGAGAGAGAGCAGAGGAUGAGAUAGAGCCACUCAUCAGAAUGGCCUUGAAACGAAUGUUGUGUAUCCUCAGCUUUGAGAACUGAAUUCCAUGGGUUGUAAUUGAAUCCUUUGUCAGACCCAUGGGGCUCAGUUCUUCAGCUUGGAUAUUUCUGUCUUCACAUACACCGGAGAUCAAAGAAGCACUUGAUCAUGUGCUGACUCUUCUGGAUUCUGAUAGCAGCAAAUAGGAAGGAGAAAGAAUAACUGAUGUGAAUCACUCUGGCAGGGAGGUUUCACUGCAAAGACCAAGCUCUCUCAUGUCGAGUAGCUGCACAGUGAUUGAACCUCUCCGUGGCUGAUAGUCUGUCCCUGCAUGGCUGCUUGCUGGUUAAUUCAACUCCCAGUUUUAUCGAAGUUACACAUAAAGUGCUGAGAUGAUGUUGACUGAAUUAUGCUUCCCAAAAAUUGUGUGCGCUGCUGAAUGUGGCUCUGAUCCCAGAUGGGACCAGCAGCACCCCGGCCCUGCCAGGUCUAUCCACUGUCGGUGUGCUGCAGCCUCCCGUGGGAUCACUGCUGCACAGUUACUGUUUCCUCUUUUUUGGCCACCUGGAGGUGGACUCAUUCAAGUUGUGGGCUGCCAAAGUUUGUGUUUCUUCCUUGGAAGAUCCGUGUUAAAGUUUAUUUUCUUUCAAGCGUCAGGAAAAUAAAAUUUAUGGUCUUCAAACACGUAAAGAGGUAUAAUUACCAACAAGAUUUCUACUUCGUUCCUGCAAUAAUAACCCUUCCUAAAUUACAUUUUUCAAACUCAGUAAAAUGGAUCAGUUACUGAUCUCAUCCCUGUGGUGCAAUGCUGUUAAAAGCACAGGAAUAUUAAAAUCCCACAGGUGCAGGAGGAGCGUGUUCAGCUAAGUAGUUUAAAGCUGCUGUGUGCCUUUUAUUCUGAAAAUGUAUUUACACUAAAAAUAAUCAGAUGUAAUCACUGUUGCCUGUGGAUACAGAUGUACCUUUGUACCGAUGUGCUUUUCAUAUAAAUUUUAUUCUAGGGUUUGAAGGCUUUCUUUGUGGCUGUCUGAAGCAUAUCAUGCUCCCCAGUUGUGAGAUAAUGGUUCUUGGAAGGACUCACCAGUCCCACCAGCUCCUGCUGGGAGAUAUCCAUUAAACAAGGAGGAGAAACACAUACAAAUGAAAGGGAAAUUCUGAAGUUUCAUUUCUGCUAUACUCCCUGUCAAGAAGAGGGAAUUAAACUGGAGGUCAGAGUUAGCAAAAUCUGCAAAAGAAGAGAGUGAGGCAGCAGCUGCACAGAAUGCCUGAGGCAGGCAUCCGCUAGCAGGGCUGCAGCCCCACCUCUGGGGCAAAGCCCAGCCUGCAGGCACUGAUGCAGCACAGGAGAUGUGUGUGUGAUGGCAGCCUCACAAAGCCACUGAUGAAAUCAAGAUAGCCUUUGGUACAGCAGUUUUACUGCCCUAUCACUUCAAGGGUGGUCCUUCAAGCAUGGUGUUAGUAACGCCGGUUUUGCUCAGAAAUGUACCGUAAGUUGUGAACUAACAAUAGUGCUGCUGGUGUCUAGCUGGAAGUAAUGGAAUUUCUAGUCCGCUCUUAAAUCCAGCCUGCCCUUCAGCCCUCAGUGCUGACCACUCUGUGUGCUCUUCCUUUGCUGUGAGCUCCUGUAGUUAUUUUGAUCCUUCCUUGCCCAACAUGACAAAGCAUUCUCUUUCCGGAUACUCCGGGGAUCUUUUCUUUAAAUCACAUGGUUCACCUUUCAAGAGCACUCCUGCAGAAUUAAAAUUAUUUUUAACACGUGGCUUCAAACCAACUUGCCUUCUGCCUGCGCAGCCUUGCAGUAUGCACAAAGACCCCUCUCCAGUCUGAGCUGGGCAAUGCUCAGGCACUCCAACAUGCCCAGGACCUCUGAUGUGAUUCCCAUUGUGCACCUGGGUAUGCGAUGUGCUGGUUGAUAUAAUACCCAAAUUCUUUUAGCUUCUUCUGUACCCAGGCUUAUGAAACUGAUCGUUUUAAUUUAGGCCUCUUCGUGUUUAAUUUCAGAGGGAAAUGUUGAUUUGUCAUUGUAAUUUUUGCUUCUCUUUACAGACUCAUUCAGGUGAAUUCAGCUGUAUUUGUUGCUGCUGUAGACUUGAAACUCAAUUUUGGGCCAAGUAAAGCAUUUGCUAGAAAAGAUUACCCUUCUCUCUAUUUUUUUCUAGCUGAUUUACACCUCUUUCCAGUGUUUAU